GAUGAACGCUGGCUACAGGCUUAACACAUGCAAGUCGAGGGGAAACGACGGGGAAGCUUGCUUCCCCGGGCGUCGACCGGCGCACGGGUGAGUAACGCGUAUCCAACCUGCCUCUGACUGAGGGAUAACCCGUCGAAAGUCGGCCUAAUACCUCAUGGCAUCGUCUGCGGGCAUCCAACGACGAUUAAAGAUUUCAUCGGUCAGGGAUGGGGAUGCGUCUGAUUAGCUUGUUGGCGGGGUAACGGCCCACCAAGGCUACGAUCAGUAGGGGUUCUGAGAGGAAGGUCCCCCACAUUGGAACUGAGACACGGUCCAAACUCCUACGGGAGGCAGCAGUGAGGAAUAUGGGUCAAUGGGCGGGAGCCUGAACCAGCCAAGUAGCGUGCAGGAUGACGGCCCUAUGGGUUGUAAACUGCUUUUAUGCGGGGAUAAAGUGAGGGACGUGUCCUUCAUUGCAGGUACCGCAUGAAUAAGGACCGGCUAAUUCCGUG
rnacentral:rRNA from 1 species